UAUAUAUAUAUAUAUAAACUCAAUAACAAUAAUAUGUUAAUAAUAAUAUAUCAAUUUAAAAACUAAAAACUCAAUUUUUAGCGUUGUUGUAUAGAAAAAUAGAGCAAUAAAUCAAAUAAAUUUAAGCAACUUAGCAGAAUUGCGGAUUAUUUUUUCUUGUUUUAUCUGUGCAGGUUAAUUUAAGCAACUGGACGUGCAAAUUCUGCUCAUAAA
rnacentral:lncRNA from 1 species